rnacentral:rRNA from 1 species
UGGGGAAUAUUGCACAAUGGGCGCAAGCCUGAUGCAGCCAUGCCGCGUGUAUGAAGAAGGCCUUCGGGUUGUAAAGUACUUUCAGCGAGGAGGAAGGCGGUAAGGUUAAUAACCUUAUCGAUUGACGUUACUCGCAGAAGAAGCACCGGCUAACUCCGUGCCAGCAGCCGCGGUAAUACGGAGGGUGCAAGCGUUAAUCGGAAUUACUGGGCGUAAAGCGCACGCAGGCGGUCUGACAAGUCGGAUGUGAAAUCCCCGGGCUCAACCUGGGAACUGCAUUCGAAACUGGCAGGCUAGAGUCUUGUAGAGGGGGGUAGAAUUCCAGGUGUAGCGGUGAAAUGCGUAGAGAUCUGGAGGAAUACCGGUGGCGAAGGCGGCCCCCUGGACAAAGACUGACGCUCAGGUGCGAAAGCGUGGGGAGCAAACA